UGAAGCUCCGAAGACUCCGCCGUUUCUUAUUAGCUUGAGAGAAAAGAAAAAAAGAGAAGAAAGAAGGAGAAAGAAGGAGUCGAAUUCUUUGUUUGUUUGUUU
rnacentral:ribozyme from 1 species